rnacentral:tRNA from 2 species
GAGCCCGUGCCCGAGAGGUCAAAGGGGUCGGGUUCAGGUCCCGAUGGGGUAGACCCUUCGGGGGUUCGAAUCCCCCCGGGCUCA